GCUGCCUGACAGUCUGGAACAUCCAGACUACCCUUGUGGCACAGGCCUGUAAUCACAUGUGGAAGCUGAAGCAAGAGGAUCACAAGUGAUUCAUCCUGAAAUUCUCUGUGUGUUUUAAGAGCCAGGAUAUUCCUGAAUGAGUUCUCAGUAGCGCAUCUCCAGGCUGCCAAGGAAGACUGAUCACAUUCCUGAGAACUGACUUUCUGCAAAGCCUCCCAGAGAGCCCAAAUUUAGGACACUUGAAGUAAGAGAAGAUGCCUUCUCUGUUAUGCCUGUAAACAUAAGAAACGCUUUACAAAGUUCUGGAAAGAAGAGAAAGCAGCUUUCCGUUAGAGCGACAGCUCCAGGUAGGAGAUUGUUGCCACGUGUUGAUUUCAGGUGUCAAAGAGUGCACAUGAGCAAAACUCAAGCAUUUCAGUGCUUCCAGUGGAUGGUACUUAGAAAUCCUCCGAAAGCUGAGUGUCCCUUGGGUUUUGAACGAAGAAGACAGCAGGCUGUCUGUGUGUUUCUGGUGUGACUGGCUCACAGAGUUUUCCACCAUGUUUGUGCCACCAGCAAGAUUUCCGCACAACAAGCGGGAGUAGCCAACGGAUC